rnacentral:lncRNA from 1 species
CGGCAUUCUUCAUGGUUGAAUUGAAUCACCUCUAAUCUUGUGCGAACGAAAAAAAGUUGAAAUUCUACAUCUGAAAAGUAGAUCAAAUUCAAAAGAAAAAGGGGGGCAGCAUCACGGGCAACAAUAAUGUAAUAAAAGUAAUGGAAGGUACUAGUUUACUAGUUUUUUUUAUUCAAAUUCUUUAAUUUUCUUUCCCUUUCUUCAUUUCAAAUUCUUUCCUAAUUGUAUGUACACCAAGACAAUACUCCCAAAUGAAAUUAGUUGGUUAAAAUUUAAGAGCGAGACGAGGGAAAGUUAGAAUCACAUGCCUUAAAAUGUUCCUCCAUAUGUUACAUUUGAUGCAUGAUUUUCUGGGUUUUACAUAGGCAUAGAGCAUGAUCACGGGAAAGGACAGGACAUGCUGGUGGAUAAUGGAGAACCCAGUUGACCUAGGUCGAGG